CGGUGCGACUCUUAUUCGGUCCAUUGAGCACCCUUUGUUCCCGCCCCACUUUCUUGUCUCUCAAAAGAACACUGGAUGAAUUAAGGUUGCUGCUGAUGCUUUCUUCGCAGUUCGCAUGAUUUUCUUCGCCCAGAAGUCUGCUUGUUGACGAUCAUCGAAUUCCACCAUUUCUCUUUUUAUACAGUCAGUAUCUCGUUUGUUUAUGAAAAUGGCACAACAGCAACCAUCAAUGAAGCCAUGGUUUCUGGAUAUGGUCCCUCUUUUUGUCGUCAUCCUCAUCGCUGCUCAUGUUUUAGCUUUGGUGUACUGGAUUUUCAGAUUGGCUACCGAAAAACAACAACAAUUUCCUGGAAGAACUAAAAAACAUUAAUAUGAUCGUUUUCCGCUGUAAACCCUAAGUAUUUAUGUUCCGUCUUUUUUCCUCGAUUUUACAAAUUUCAUUUUUUUGAUUUUCUUUGUGUAAUUAUUGUUGUCACUUGUCAGUUAAGAUUUCGUUGGUUCCAUUUCUGUAGAAUUAUGUGGUCUAAUUUGUUGCAAAGAGAGGAAUUUGUUAUAUCUAUGCUGACAUUGUGAUUGGGUUAUCAUCAUGAUCAAUAUUUCCUGCAUAAGAAUGUAUCAGCUUCUCUAGUUUAUGAUAAUUAGAUUGCCGUCGCUA